GUUGCCUCGUCACAUUGUAGUUAGGCGGCUCGUAUAAAGGCGUUACGCGGAACUUUCAGCGCACGGGCCGACUCGAAAGUCUCCGGCGAAUCCCCCGGCCGAUGAUCUGCUGCUGCUCGUUGCUCCGUUGGAAUCGUCCGAGAGUACCCCGAGCCGAACGGCGCGAGCAAGGUGGAAUCUAGUUAUAGCAGAGUUUGCGGCUGCCCGACGCAGAUGCAGGUCUGGAGGAUGCAGUUUUGGCGGAUGCGGUUGCAGCACCAGAGGAUCCGGUUCGGGCCGAGCAGGAUCGACUCAAAGAUCUGAGUAGCUGGCUCUGAGUUUGAGCGUUUUUUAUCGGUGAGUGAGAAAAA